rnacentral:rRNA from 1 species
CCUACGGGUGGCUGCAGUCGAGAAUCAUUCACAAUGGGGGAAACCCUGAUGGCGCGACGCCGCGUGGGGGAAUGAAGGUCUUCGGAUUGUAAACCCCUGUCAUGUGGGAGCAAAUUAAAAAGAUAGUACCACAAGAGGAAGAGACGGCUAACUCGGCGGCAGCAGCCGCGGUAAUACAGAGGUCUCAAGCGUUGUUCGGAAUCACUGGGCGUAAAGCGUGCGUAGGCUGUUUCGUAAGUCGUGUGUGAAAGGCGCGGGCUCAACCCGCGGACGGCACAGGAGAAUGAGAGACUAGAGUAAAGGAGGGGGAACCGGAAUUCUCGGUGUAGCAGUGAAAUGCGUAGAUAUCGAGAGGAACACUCGUGGCGAAGGCGGGUUCCUGGACAGUAACUGACGCUGAGGCACGAAGGCCAGGGGAGCGAAAGGGAUUAGAUACCCUGGUAGUC